rnacentral:rRNA from 1 species
CCUACGGGUGGCAGCAGUGGGGAAUAUUGGACAAUGGGCGAAAGCCUGAUCCAGCCAUGCCGCGUGUGUGAAGAAGGCCUUCGGGUUGUAAAGCACUUUCAGUGGGGAAGAAAGCCUUGGGGCUAAUACCCUCGAGGAAGGACAUCACCCACAGAAGAAGCACCGGCUAACUCCGUGCCAGCAGCCGCGGUAAUACGGAGGGUGGAGCGUUAAUCGGAAUUACUGGGCGUAAAGCGCGCGUAGGCGGUCUGAUAAGCCGGUUGUGAAAGCCCCGGGCUCAACCUGGGAACGGCAUCCGGAACUGUCAGGCUAGAGUGCAGGAGAGGAAGGUAGAAUUCCCGGUGUAGCGGUGAAAUGCGUAGAGAUCGGGAGGAAUACCAGUGGCGAAGGCGGCCUUCUGGACUGACACUGACGCUGAGGUGCGAAAGCGUGGGUAGCAAACAGGAUUAGAUACCCCAGUAGUC